rnacentral:lncRNA from 1 species
AAAAAUUAAAUUUUAUGAACAUCACUGUCGGUGUUUUAUCAUUUUACUUUACUUUCUUUUUGUCUUCAUAAGAUUGAACAUCAAGUGACCCUGGAAGAACUACAAAAUCUGAAUGCACUAUUUCAGGAGCAUGAAAAGAGAGGAAGACAACUGCUGGAUAUGGAAACAUUCAAAAGCAUAAUGAAGCAGAGUAUGAAGUCCCAGAAUAAAAAUAUCGAACAGAUAGAACAACUUUUCAUGAAAAUAGACUAUGAAGCAGUGGG